AGCGAACGCUGGCGGCAGGCCUAACACAUGCAAGUCGAACGGAUCCUUCGGGAUUAGUGGCGGACGGGUGAGUAACACGUGGGAACGUGCCCUUUGGUUCGGAACAACUCAGGGAAACUUGAGCUAAUACCGGAUGUGCCUUUCGGGGGAAAGAUUUAUCGCCAUUGGAGCGGCCCGCGUCUGAUUAGCUAGUUGGUGAGGUAAAGGCUCACCAAGGCGACGAUCAGUAGCUGGUCUGAGAGGAUGAUCAGCCACAUUGGGACUGAGACACGGCCCAAACUCCUACGGGAGGCAGCAGUGGGGAAUCUUGCGCAAUGGGCGAAAGCCUGACGCAGCCAUGCCGCGUGAAUGAUGAAGGUCUUAGGAUUGUAAAAUUCUUUCACCGGGGACGAUAAUGACGGUACCCGGAGAAGAGGCCCCGGCUAACUUCGUGCCAGCCGCCGCCGUAACAC
rnacentral:rRNA from 1 species